GCGAUUAUACCAGUACUAAUGCAUCGGAUCCCAUCAGAACUCUGCAAUUAAAUGCGCUUGGGCGAGAGUAGUACUAGGAUAGGUGACCUCAUUGGAUGUCCUUGUUU